UGCCAAUCAACUAGUUCACCUAAUAAAAUUCAAAACCAAAAAUAACCCCUUAAAACCUAAAAUCCUUAAGCUAAAACAUUUUUUCCCCUAGUAAAGGCGAUUGAACAGGAACAC
rnacentral:rRNA from 1 species